CCUACGGGAGACAGCAGUGAGGAAUAUUGGUCAAUGGGCGGGAGCCUGAACCAGCCAAGUCGCGUGAGGGAAGACGGUCCUAUGGAUUGUAAACCUCUUUAGGCGGGGAGCAAUGCCGGGCACGCGUGCCCGGAGGGAGAGUACCCGCAGAAUAAGCAUCGGCUAACUCCGUGCCAGCAGACGCGGUAAUACGGAGGAUGCGAGCGUUAUCCGGAUUUAGUGGGUUUAAAGGGUGCGUAGGCGGAUUUUUAAGUCAGCGGUAAAAUGUCCGGGCUCAACCCGGGCCGGCCGUUGAAACUGGGGAUCUUGAGUGGGCGAGAAGUAUGCGGAAUGCGUGGUGUAGCGGUGAAAUGCAUAGAUAUCACGCAGAACUCCGAUUGCGAAGGCAGCAUACCGGCGCCCGACUGACGCUGAGGCACGAAAGCGUGGGGAUCGAACAGGAUUAGAUACCCGUGUAGUC
rnacentral:rRNA from 1 species